UGCCGUGCUGAGAUCGCAGCUUCAGGACAUAGCUACUUCACAGCACAGUGGAGUAGCUAACGUUAGAUGCUGGCUAUAUUGGCAGUCAUAAAAGCCUGUGAUCAUGCGGAGCUCUGUACCCAACCGACAGACAUGCUUUUUCAUCUUAGAAUUAUGUGCUUGGCGUUGUUUCCAGGUCCCAGGGGUUUAAGGCCCAGACAGGUGACACAACCUCAACUGAGUGCUUUGCCUGGUCCAACAAUGUAUGAAAGCCAAAAGAGAGAGGGAGGUGGUGUCUGCCAUUCGUGGGGAGUGAGAGGUCAUCUGGAAUAUUCUCCGUGAGCACGAUGCUCCCGUCCCACUCUGAUGUCUUCACUCUAUGCCGCCGUCUUCAUCCUGCUGGUUCCUCACUGUCCUGGAAG